UACGUAGGGUGCGAGCGUUGUCCGGAAUUAUUGGGCGUAAAGGGCUCGUAGGCGGUCUGUUACGUCGGGAGUGAAAACUCGGGGCUCAACCCCGAGCGUGCUUCCGAUACGGGCAGACUAGAGGUAUGCAGGGGAGAACGGAAUUCCUGGUGUAGCGGUGAAAUGCGCAGAUAUCAGGAGGAACACCGGUGGCGAAGGCGGUUCUCUGGGCAUUACCUGACGCUGAGGAGCGAAAGUGUGGGGAGCGAACAGG
rnacentral:rRNA from 1 species